CCUGGCUCGGGUGGCGAAGGAAAACACAACAAACUCUCACAACGAGCAAGCAGAAGGUGCGAUGAUUUCAAACCGUGUGGCCGUGCUUCUGUACUUUGUUCUGGUCGCCGUCCUCUCCGCCUUUGCCCGUGACGCCACGCCCCUCUUGCUUUCGGGCGUGGCAUUUGCUGCUUAUUUGGUCGUGGAUUCCCUCGUCACUGCCGCCCUCCGCCACUAGGGUGACGGGGGAAUCGACGAGCGACGCCAUCUCCCCGGUCGUCGGUGGCGGCCAACCAGCCCAAUCUCCUUCUCUUCUUCCGACUCCGAAUGUUAAGAUUCGUCUAUUCUUCGUCCUCGUCCUUCAAUUCGACUGUCGAGGUUAAGCAAGUCAGCCAAAACCUCCCUUGUGUGCGAUCCCAAAACAGGCGGAGCGAACUGAAUGCGGUUGGAAGAGGCCGAGAAUUUGACUGGCGGACCCACUUGCUUGAUCUCUCCAACCUUGGGAUGGCUUACAGUCUGUUCCAGACCCAAAUGCUUCACUUGAGGAUCGGCAAACACUUGGGACAAGUUGUUAACAGGCCCAUACGGGAACCCGGCUCCGUCGAAGGUCGAUGUCCAUUCCUCAUUGGUCUUUUCACCCAUUUUGGUCGUGAGGAGCUCAAUGAGUUCUUCUCUGUUGUGGACACGCAAUUCGUUUGAUUGAUACUUGUCCUCAAGGCAAACUUGAGGGAGUCCAAUUUUCUGCAAGAAGAAAAAAGUCACUAUGAAACGGAGUGGACCAAGCGAAUCAACCUAAAAGACCAUUCGAAGUAUUUGUCGUUAAAAAAGAUAACGUUAAGCCCCUCAUAAACUAUGGCUUGAUCCUAAAACACUGCAGUCUUCCUUCAGACAGGCUUUAGCUUAAGGCUCCCAUAAGUUUUGGUGGAGGCUGUCUCAAUCACCUGACAGAAUUCCUGGAAUUGGUGGUCAUUGCCGCAUCCGAUGGUCAUAUAUCCGUCCUUGGUCUGGAAACUCUGAUAUGGGACAAUGCUGGCAUGGGCUGUGCCUUGACGUUGGGCUUCGAUUCCGCCAUUAAGAUAACUGGAUGACAGCUCGAGCCAGCAGAGCUGCCAUUAUCGCGCCAUGAGCAUACAAUCCGGUACAAACAUCGGUCAGAGCCACGCCCACCUUGCACGGAGGGCCGUUGGGCUCACCAGUGAUGUGAAGGAGACCCCCUAAAUGAUAGCAGCAAUUACGAGGGAGCUCAAAGGUUAUGUCAACCUGCAGGACCCAAAACACCUACCAAUGGAAGCAGCGAUGACAUCGUAUCCAGCUCUGUUGGAAUAUGGCCCAUCAACUCCAAAUCCCGUGAUAGAGCAAUAAAUAAGAUUGGGUGCAAUGUC